rnacentral:tRNA from 1 species
GCCCCCGUGGCGCAAUUGGAUAGCGCGAGUGGCUUCUAUCCACUAGGUUGUAGGUUCAAAUCCUACCGGGGGUACCA